UCUCCGUAGGUGAACCUGCGGAGGGAUCAUUACCGAAUAACCAACUCCCAAGGCCUUACGCUAACCGUAACGAUCGUUCACGCCCCAGUGCCGUCACACACAUCUAUCCCACCCCCAUGUGCACCACCGCGGGGGUCCCCCUUUUGUUUGUUUUUAGGGGGUCUUUCGGUUUCAAACAAAAUAAUUAUGCAAAGUAGUAUAUAACUUUUGUCUUUGCUCUCACGCAAUCGAAACAACUUUCAAAAACGGAGCGCUUAGCUCUCACAUCGAGGAAGAACG
rnacentral:misc_RNA from 1 species